rnacentral:lncRNA from 1 species
UUUCUUGAGAAAUUCACUUCGGUGAUAUUUCGACUUUCAAAAGAUAAAUUAAGGACAUUAAGUUGUACUUGAUUCAUCUUUCCUACAAGUGAUAAUUUGAAAAACAAGGUGAUGAAACCCCGAGUUUAUGAAAUGACACACAAAACUAAUUUUCCGGAAAAACCAUUUUGAUUAAAACAAACUUAAGUGUUUUGAAAUCAUAAUGGGAAAAUAGUUUGUUGUGAGGGGAAGUUCUGAUUGUUUAUGCCAGGGGGAGUUCUGAUUGUUUAUGCCAAGUGGAUGGCGAACUAA